GCCUGACUGACUCACUUGGUAGAGCACAUGACUCGUGAUCUUGGGGUUGUGAGUUCUAGUCCCACAUUGGGUA
rnacentral:tRNA from 1 species